AGAUAUAGUAUGCUCUUAAAAUUCAUCGUACUUACAAUAUAACACGUCAUGAAGUUCCAAAUUUAAAAUAUUCCUUCGGAAAUGUCAGAUUUAAACAAAACCCUCUCCAAUAUCCGUACGAUUAAAGAUAACAAAUAUAUGUCGGUUGAAAAAUAUUUAAAAAUAUAUGAAUAGGUUAAUAUCUCCCAAGAAGACGAUAUUAUGCUCAGGGCCGGAGCAAAGCAAAAUGAUGAUACCAUUAACAGAUGCAAGACAUUUUUGUAGUAGCGAUGAUUCGGUUUAAAGGAGUGAGAAAAAUCAUGAAAGUUCUGUGUAACUUCAUAAAGUCCUCAUAUCCUUGAAACUACUUUAUAUAAAAGAAAUCCAGGCGCUUUCAGAGAAAUGUACUUUUUAGAGAAAUUAAACUACAUCAAUAGUUUUUU
rnacentral:misc_RNA from 1 species